UUUGGAUUCUCUCUUUAAAAACAUUCUAAUUAAUCACAUGUUCUACCUUCUUUAACAUUAUAGAUUUGAAAUCCGUUUGGUUGCCAAGAAAAGCGACAGUGGAAGUCACCAAAAUCACAGCCAAACAACACACGCAAUCCAAAUCGAGUCCCCAGCAAUCUCCGGAGAAAACCAUGGACGGAUCACUAUCCCUCGUACUGCCCGCAGAACCUCGACCCGUAGAAAGCCCAUCCAAGUAGAACCAGAAAGCUCACAGCCAUUGACUCAAUUGUCGCCGCGGGGCGAGGAGAGCCGUUUCUAAAGAGAUGGACCAAGAAAAGACUGAGGUGCCUAAAACUCCUGCCGCACCGAACACCUGGAGAAGGGCUUCGACUGCUUCUGCUCGACAGAACACCACUCAGAAGGAGAAAGUGGGGUCUGGGGUGUGAGGUUGAUAACUUUUUUAUAUGUAUUGUUUUUUAGGAGAAGAUGGUGAAUUUUCUUAGAAGUUGUGAAAAUUUGAAUUAAAAGUUGCAGUUAACUUGAAAUAAGAGAAGUGCAUGGUUUAAAUAAAAAAACUCUUUCAAAGUGAA